AUGAACGCUAGCUACAGGCUUAACACAUGCAAGUCGAGGGGCAGCAUGGUCUUAGCUUGCUAAGGCCGAUGGCGACCGGCGCACGGGUGAGUAACACGUAUCCAACCUGCCGUCUACUCUUGGACAGCCUUCUGAAAGGAAGAUUAAUACAAGAUGGCAUCAUGAGUCCGCAUGUUCACAUGAUUAAAGGUAUUCCGGUAGACGAUGGGGAUGCGUUCCAUUAGAUAGUAGGCGGGGUAACGGCCCACCUAGUCUUCGAUGGAUAGGGGUUCUGAGAGGAAGGUCCCCCACAUUGGAACUGAGACACGGUCCAAACUCCUACGGGAGGCAGCAGUGAGGAAUAUUGGUCAAUGGGCGAGAGCCUGAACCAGCCAAGUAGCGUGAAGGAGGACUGCCCUAUGGGUUGUAAACUUCUUUUAUAAAGGAAUAAAGUCGGGUAUGGAUACCCGUUUGCAUGUACUUGAUGAAUAAGGAUCGGCUAACUCCGUG
rnacentral:rRNA from 1 species